AUUUUAUAGUAAAUUAAAAUAAGAAUGAGAAUGACAAUCCCAUUUGGUCUUGAAUUUUACACAAGUAUUCAAAGUAUUUAAUUUAUUUAAAUAUAAGCUUGAAAAUAAACAAAAUAAACUUACUCUUCAUGCAGUGCUCUCCCACCAAAUAAAUACCCCACCAUCCACCAUUAAUCCUUUUUAAUCUUCAUACAGCCAAGGAGAGAAAAAAGUAUACCUCUCUUUCAGUUCUCUCUCAACUCUCGAACGAACAUGUCUACCAUUUUCUGGAAGAACCUGCUCAAAUGCUUACCCACCACAACCUCAUCCCCAAAUCCACUAACCUUACAACAAGAACAUGCCCAUCUAUUACAAUCACCCACUAAACCUACCACCACCACCACAUCAUCAAUUGUGAUCAAGAACUUCAACUCCCUCUAUGACCUCUCCUCAGCUUCCACUUCCAAAUCCCUCAGUACUCCCUCCACCUAUUCCUUCUCCUCUUCUAACUCCGACUCCGACAACGACUCACCCCCUGAUUUCGCUGCCAUCUUCGCAUCCCAACGGUUCUUCUUCUCCUCUCCUGGCCGCUCCAACUCUAUAAUCGAGCCCCCAGAAACGCUACCGGAAACUCAGUCACCUCUCAGUGGAGUUGUAGCCAUUAAAAAGUAUUCACCAGAUCCUUACACAGAUUUUAAACAUUCGAUGCUAGAAAUGAUUGAAGCCAGAAAGCUAAAGGACGUGAGGGCUGAUUGGGACUGCUUGCAUGAGUUGCUUUCUUGUUAUCUUACCUUGAAUCCUAAGCACACCCACAAGUUUAUCAUUAGUGCUUUUGCUGAUAUAAUCAUUUGCCUAUUACCCUCAUCUUCGUCAGAAUCCGACAACCUCCAGAAGCAUGAAGGCCGCCGGCGGCAAAAUGUGUCACGUUGGACAGUAUAAAAUAUUUGAUUAUUGGUAAUAUCUUUUUCCUUUUUUGUUUUCUGCUGUCAAGAAAUGCUAAGAGUAGUUUUCUUUUUAUUCCCUUGUUUAAUGGAACUACUUUGUCUGUGGUUUCAUGCAAGAAGACAAAAGGUUAAAUGUAAUGUGUUAAUUUGGAAACCAAGGAGGCGUGGGUUGUGUUAAUGUCUCGAUGCGUGUUAAAAAAUUUUGUUCAUAAGAGACCAAAGUGACAAAUGCAUAUAUAUGUUUUCUUUUCCCUUAAUUAAUCUUGUUGGAAAUAACAAAUCGUUGUCCCAAUUGAAGAUAAAUGUCAAGGAUGGUUAUAUUGGUCAUGAAUUUGCUGUGGUCCUUGGCAGUAUAUCAUAUGCAUAGUAAAGGACCUAGCAGUACCUCUGGUUUUUCUUUCUUAGAACAUGGUUACUCCAGAGGUAGCUCU
rnacentral:misc_RNA from 1 species